rnacentral:lncRNA from 10 species
CAGGAAGUCAUCCCAGGGUAGAGGGAAUCCCAGUUCUGCCACCGUUGGGAAUCACAUGACUCAGAUGAGGAAACCGUGGCAAAAACAGAUGAAAUAAGUCAUCUGAAGCCAUACAACCAAGAAAUUUCUGGCAAGAACUUCUGGCAGUCUCCUGUUUCCCAGAUGCCCGGCUCCUCACUGACGUGCACAUAACAGCAAAUCUAUAACAAUCCUCCUUCCAAUUACAUCAGGUGGUGGGGGGGGGGGCGCGAGCAGGAGGGCAUAAGAAGGUCAGUACCCUAGAAGGCAGCCUCAUUUACUCAUCCACUAAGAAAAUAAUGACUGAACACCUACCAGGUUCCAGGCACUUGGGAAAAGGCAGUGAGCAAGACUGAUGAAGGCCCCAGCCCGCAAAGCCUCAUAUUCAAAAGCUGGGACAGAGAUGAGAGAAAAGUAAAGAAAUAAACAAGACAUCCUGGAUGGCGAUAAAUGCCAUGAAGAUAAUAAAACAGGGUUAUGUGAUAGAAAAUGGCCAGAAAUGAGGAUAGCAGGUUUGAUGGAGGUCUUUUCAAGAGGACAUGCAAUCAGGACCCAAUCAUGCAAUGAUGUGUGGGAAGAACCUUCCCAUAGGCCGGAGGGAGGGAUGGGCUUGGUUUAUGUGACAAAGGCUAAGUGGCUGUAGCAGAGAGAACUAAGGGAAGAGAAGCAGAGGCUAGAUGAUGGUGAGCCUUAUAAUCGAUUCAAAGACAUUCCAAGUAAGUGCAAAAGGAGGCCAUCAGAGGGGCCCUUGUGGACAUUGCAAUACAAUGUUGAAGUCCAAAAACAAUAGUCUAUUCAUUGACCUACCCUUAUUUCCUAAACUCUAAAUAAUGCUCAAUAAUUUUUUUUUAACCAAUUUACAAAUGGUUUUUUUACUUGUGCCUUCGUUUUGUUUUUGUUUUUUGUUUUGUUUUGUUGUUAUACUUCUAGCGUACAAUGUGCAGGUUUGUUACAUACGUAUACAUGUGCCAUGUUGGUGUGCUGCACCCAUUAACUCAUGAUUUAUAUUAGGUAUAUCUCCUAAUGCUAUCCCUCCCCCCUCCCCCCACCCCACCAUAGGCCCCAGUAUGUGAUGUUCCCCACCCUGUGUCCAAGUGUUCUUAUUUUCACUUCCCACCUGUGAGUGAGAACAUGCGGUAUUUGGUUUUCUGCCCUUGUGAUAGUUUGCUCAGAAUGAUGGUUUCCAGCUUCAU